rnacentral:rRNA from 1 species
CAUUUAAAUAAGUUUAUUUUAUUUGAGGCUUUGUAAAAGAAUUAUUGAAUUGGUAUUGUUUUUAGAAUUUUAUUUAUAUGUAUUGUACUGUGAAGGGUAAGAAUGAAAAUUUUGAAAAAUUUAAAAUUAAAAAAGUAUGAUUUAAGUACCUUUUGCAUUAGGGUUUUUUAAAGAAAUUAAAAUAUUUUAAUUUCCCGAAGUUAAAAUGAUCUAUAUUAAUAAAAUUAUUAUGUGGAAUUAUAAUAAAUAAUAUUAUUAUAGAAAUGAAAUUUUAUUCAUAUUUAUCGAUAUCUGGUUAUAAAAAUAGUGAUUAUAUAUCUUACUAUAAUAAAUUUAUUUAAUUUAAAAGUUUUAUAGUGAUAGUUUGUGGGGAUAAGCUCAUGAAUUUUUUUUUAAAUUUGAUUAUUUAUAAAAAUAAGGAAUAAAAUUUUCUUGAUUUUUUAAUAAAGAAUUGUUAAUUUAUAAAAAUAUGGGUAAAAUUUUUUUAGUGAUUUUAUUAAUUUUUAAUAUUUUAAAAAAAUUAAUAUAUUAGUAAAAUUUAAUUUUAUUUAUAUUUUUUAAAAUAUAUUUUUGAAAUAAAUUUAUUUUAAAUUAAAGGAACUCGGCAAAAAUUUUUUGAUUGACUGUUUAUCAAAAACAUUUCAUUUUGAAAUAAUAAAAUGUAAAAUCUGCUCAAUGAUUAAUUAAAUUGCUGUGGUAUUUUGACUAUACGAAGGUAUUGAAAUAAGGCUUUAAAUGAGUGCUAAGAGAAUGGUUUAACGAUUGGAAGCUUUCUUUAAUUAAUAAAUUGAAUUUAAUUUUUUUGUGAAGAAGCAAAAAUUUGAAUUAGGGACAAGAAGACCCUAUGAAUUUUAUAUUAAAUUCGUAUAAGAUAUAUUUUUAAGAAUUUAAUUUAGUUGGGGCGACAGAAAAAGAAUAUAUAUCUUUUUGUGAUAAGUAGUUAAUUUGUUCCGUUAUUAACGAUUAAAUGAGAAAAAUACUCUAGGGAUAACAGCGUAAUAAUUUUGGAUAGUUCAUAUAGAUAAAAUAGUUUGCGACCUCGAUGUUGGAUUAGGAUUCUUUUUUAGUGAAGAAGUUAAAGAGAAGAAGUUUGUUCAACUUUUAAAUUCCUACAUGAUCUGAGUUCAGACCGGCGUGAGCCAGGUUGGUUUCUAUCUUAAUUUUAAAAAGAAAUUUUUUUAGUACGAAAGGAAUAAAAAAUGUUAAUUAAAUUAAUUUAAAAUAUUUUAAAUUAA